CUCUCUGCAACAAGCAAAGGAAUCCACUCAUCUUUCUCCAGCAGCAAGGGAGUCCGCACUUGUCUCAGGGCUCUGUCAAUACAAGGACUUGCAUUUGAUUUAAAACUUUGUUAUUCAUCUGAAAUAUUGUCUUUAUAAAAGCAGAUGACUGUUUUGAAAAAUGGAAUUAUUUUACAGAAGUGAAAUUUCACCGUUUCAAGACGAUCUGAAUACAUCCAGUGAAUUACUUGUGAUUUUCACUCACUUUGGCAAUGUGACCUCAAGCAACUAAGGAAAGGAAUCUUAUAAAGACUAUCUGCUUUCCUGCCAGUUAAAUGGAAUGGUCUCCAUACACCUCCAUCAGUGAGGAGCUUUCUGCUUGACUUUGUCUAUUGGGAGGUGGCUACUGAUAUUGAAACUGAAGCCCAAUGCUGUUAUGAAGGCCUUGAAAGAAUCUUUAAAAUGAGAAUUAGAAAAAUACCCAGUGUCUACACAGAUGGUUACUGCAUGAAAAAGCUUCUAAGAAUGAUUUGCCUCGUAAACGGUAUAAAGACUGCCCCUCCGAGUAAAAAACUAUGUGGAUCAACAGCAAUGUUGAGCCUUCCCCAGCGACUGAACUUUAGAAAAAGCCUUUAUAUUAGCAUGUGAAUAAAUGGUUGCCAACAAAGUAGAAAAAUUCCUUGAAACCCAUGCAUGAUGACAUGCAUGGCCACUUGUAUUUUUUAUUUAAGUUGAAUUAACUUGGAAUGUCACUGAUUUUAGAAAGGUUUUGCUAUUUUCAAUCAAGUGAUUUUCAUAAAACAUUUGUGAUCUGUUGAACGAUGUUCUGGGGAUUUUUUAUGUAAACAGUACUGUUUCAACAGUGAUUGUUCAGCCAAGUUUGAAGCAUCCUCAACCAUGACUAGGUCAUUGAGAAAAUCUCUCUUCAUUCAGAAGUGAGGGUUUUGGACCUCUUGCGUUGCCAGUUUAUUCCUACUCUGGUUUUGCUGGACCUCGAAUUCUACAAAUUGUAAUUUGUAAAAGAUUUUGAUUAAACUGGAGAAACAAACUGCUUUACUUAGAUGUAUAUCAUUAUGCUAUCUGUGGCUCAGUUAAUUGAGUUUUUAAUACUUCAGUUGUUUUGCCAUUUUUCUUUUUGUUACUCUGAAAUAUAACAUGCCGAGUUAAAUGGAUGGUCCUUGGUCAAAGAGCAUUGAAUUUAUAGAACACAAUUUUUUGUCCUUUUUUGUGUGUUCCAAAUGAAUUAGGAGAGUUAAGCCAUUUGGCCCUUCAAAAUGUGCUCUGCUAUUCAAUAAACUAUGGUUGAGAUGUUCCAA